AGGGACCGUACAUGGGAACCGCACCCGGCUGCCAAUGUCUGGGAUGCUUCUUGAGCGCUUAACAUACAACACAGGAAUGGACCUUGCUCUUUACGAUCUAUGUAACAUUAUUACAGAUCAUUGCCUAGAAAAAUUGGUGCAGAUAACAACCCAAAGACAGAGAAAUAUCGUUGUGAAGAAUCUCUUCUCCAAUCACCGAUUCUCUGACCGGAAUCCUGUCCACAUUUUGCCGCCUGAACCAGUGUAAUAUAAAGUGGUUGUGUAACUCUGCUACAAAGGUGGAGGCCUUGAGAAAGAAUCAGCAGUAGGCGUCGAAUCGUGAGCUCUGUUUGAUUUCCGACAACAGAAAACAGAACAACAACAAGUUUUGAGAGAUUAACCCUGUCAAACACAGUUAGAGUGCAGGCCUGCUCUCAUCUCUCUGCUUCUGUCCAAUUACACAAGCAUGCUCCUAAUGCAGAGGGAACUAAUGGAAUUGUUGCGAUGAUGAUGAAUGGUGGAUGGUGAGGAAGGACAGAUGGGAACGUAAUUACUAACGUUUGGGGAUCCACCAAAAAGGCAAGUUCAAGGAACCAUGGCAACAUCAUCCGUCAUAUGCUAGACAACCAAUAGAAAUCAGAUCACUUUCCAUUUUUAUCCCUCAGUGUACUUUUAUCUUUAAGUUGAAGGCGAAGUUUGUCAUUUAUGCAGCACUAGUGGCACUGAACAGAAUUGCAGUUGCAUGUUUUUUGAGCGACCAGACUGGGGAAGAUACAGCCCUAAAUGGGAAAUUUUGUCAGCACCACUAUCGUAAAAGAUUUGAACAAUAGCAAUAUUUAAGGUUGGCAGAAUGAAACUUUUCUGGCCAAACUCUAUGCCUGUCCAUGCAGCCUUGCACAAACAGAGCAGGAGUGCAGCAGCAAUAAUAUCCCCGCACAUUGACAUUGAUCAAUUUUCAAAACAGGGAUAUAUCUCCCCAAUGCACUAUGAAUGUGAUAUGAAAA